rnacentral:rRNA from 1 species
CGGAGAAGGGUAGGUCAGCCAACUGUUGGAAUAGUUGGUUCAAGCGUGUAGGCGUGCUCUGUAGGCAAAUCCGCAGAGCUUAGCUGAGGCGUGAUAACGAGGUGCCACGUGCACUGAAGUGAUUGAUCCCAUGCUUCCAGGAAAAGCCUCUAAGCUUCAGUUCCAUAUUGACCGUACUGCAAACCGACACAGGUGGGUGGGGUGAGAAUCCUAAGGCGCUUGAGAGAACUCAGGAGAAGGAACUCGGCAAAUUAACACCGUAACUUCGGGAGAAGGUGUGCCCUUGUAGGGUGAAGUCCCUUGCGGAUGGAGCUCGAAAGGGUUGCAGUGAAAAGGUGGCUGCGACUGUUUAUUAAAAACACAGCACUCUGCAAACACGAAAGUGGACGUAUAGGGUGUGACGCCUGCCCGGUGCUGGAAGAUUAAAUGAUGGGGUGCAAGCUCUUGACUGAAGUCCCAGUAAACGGCGGCCGUAACAAUAACGGUCCUAAGGUAGCG